GAAAUGCGAUACUUGGUGUGAAUUGCAGAAUCCCGUGAACCAUCGAGUCUUUGAACGCAAGUUGCGCCCGAAGCCAUUAGGCCGAGGGCACGCCUGCCUGGGUGUCACACAUCGUUUCCCCAACGCAAACAUGUAACAAUGUUGCUCGCGGGAGGUCCCAAC
rnacentral:misc_RNA from 1 species